AUAUUAACUGAGAGUUCCCUUUUCUCCUUUGUUGGUUUAAUUCUCUUCCAUGCCUACCUCACCCCACCCCUCACACAAAAAACAAAACAAAAAUGUUUUAUAGAACUCAGCAGAAAUGAACCUGUGAUUGAGACAUUAUGGCCAUUACUUGCUUCAUUUCAAGUGGAUUCCUUCCUUCCAUCAUUCCGGACUUCAGCUUACUAUUAACUAAAAUUACAUGAGAGUUCAGUUCUGCCUGGGAAGUGAGCAACUGAAGAGCUGAAGAUAAAGCCCACAAUACCUGAGACUGAUGUUCUCCUGAGUUAUGGGGAUGUUAGAAAUUCAAGAACAGAGCUGCUGGAAUUCACUGUCCAGUGUCCAGAGCACCUCAUUCAAGUCUGGAACCUACACCUUAAACAGACUCAGAUGAUGAGGAGAAGAGUAGCUGAAAGGAUGAAGACACUCAAAACCGUGCCUUGGAAUUGGUGAUGAAACAAUUGGGAAAACUUAACUUGGACAAGAGAAUGUUCAGAAGAGAAACCCAGCAAGAGACAAUAGAUUCAUCAUACAUGGCCUCAGAGGACCAAAAGAGAAACAAGGAGAAAAAGCUUCAUCUAUGAACAAGGAAGAACAUUCUAACUGAUUAGCAUCAUGGACUCACACAAGUUGUGAAUUACUGCUCCCCAGGACUCAGACCGGCUCCUGUGCAGACUUUUUGCUCCCUGCAACAAGCUCCAGGAAACCAGUCUGUUUUACUUUCCUCUUCAAAUUUGUUUGGCGAGAUAAUGAGUUUCCCGUCGUUGGAAAGUGUGAAAAUAAGUCAGGCAAGCACUGGGUGGGGACGCUGCUGACAAAACAUGUGUUUUUCUCAGGUGUCUCUCAAAAUUCUGGAAACUGAAAAUGUGAGUGUCAAGAGCAGAGAUGCAAAAGUCCACCCUGGAUUCUCAGCCUUUGAGGAGGGUAGAGCGUGUUGCUGCUCCUCUCACACUCCAUAAAAGUCUUCCCCAAUUUUUCACUACAUCCCUCUCACCACCACCCCCAUUCCAACACGCUUCUCACAUGAGGUGGAACAGAUGCUGGGGUGAUGCUGGCUAAAAAUAAAAGCAAGAGGGGAAAGGAAAAAAACGAUUUUACAAUAAAUAUCUCAGCAAAAAUUUUAUAUCCUGAAUGGAUUCGGCAGCAAAAGAACAGCUGUUCCCUCUUUAGCUGUUCUUCCUUCGCUCACUUUUAUAACCUGAUUAAUAUGCCAAUCAGACUUUUGUAAUCAGGAGCAGGGGAUAUUAACCUUGUAAAGCAUGUAAAAUGUAUCUUCUCCAAA
ensembl:lncRNA